UGUUUACUUGCCAUAAGAGAGCAGUUGUGUACAUAGUGCAUAUAUAUUCUGUUGGAUGGUAUCCAAUGUUUAUGAUUACAUUUUCUUUAAUAAAGGUUAAUGAUAUCUACAUAUCCUCAAGGAUUGUAAAUAGGAGGGAAAUAAAGUGUCAAACAAUAAACAAUUACCAAUACAGGAAGUUUGAGGGGGACGGUCUUCCAAGCUUAGAACCUAGAAGGAUAAGGAGGACAG